CCUACGUGUGGCAGCAGUGAGGAAUAUUGGUCAAUGGGCGAGAGCCUGAACCAGCCAAGUCUCGUGAGGGAGUACUGCCCUAGGGGUUGUACACCUCUUUUGUCGGGGAGCAAAAGCCGGACGUGUCCGGCUGUGAGAGUACCCGAAGAAAAAGCCUCGGCAAACUCCGUGACAGCAGCCGCGGUAAUACGGGGGAUGCGAGGGUUAUACGGAUUUAUUGGGUUAAAAGGGUACGCAGGCGGAGUGUUAAGUCAGCGGUAAAAUCGUGGGGCUCAACCCCAUCCAGCCGUUGAAACUGGGGAUCUAGAGUGUGCGAGAGGGAUGCGGAAUGCGUGGUGUAGCGGUGAAAUGCAUAGAUAUCACGCAGAACCCCGAUUGCGAAGGCAGCAUACCGGUGCACAACUGACGCUCAGGCACGAAAGCGUGGGUAUCGAACAGGAUUAGAUACCCGAGUAGUC
rnacentral:rRNA from 1 species